AUUGAACGCUGGCGGCAGGCCUAACACAUGCCAGUCGAGCGGAUGAAGGGAGCUUGCUCCUGGAUUCAGCGGCGGACGGGUGAGUAAUGCCUAGGAAUCUGCCUGGUAGUGGGGGAUAACGUCCGGAAACGGGCGCUAAUACCGCAUACGUCCUGAGGGAGAAAGUGGGGGAUCUUCGGACCUCACGCUAUCAGAUGAGCCUAGGUCGGAUUAGCUAGUUGGUGGGGUAAAGGCCUACCAAGGCGACGAUCCGUAACUGGUCUGAGAGGAUGAUCAGUCACACUGGGACUGAGACACGGUCCAGACUCCUACGGGAGGCAGCAGUGGGGAAUAUUGGACAAUGGGCGAAAGCCUGAUCCAGCCAUGCCGCGUGUGUGAAGAAGGUCUUCGGAUUGUAAAGCACUUUAAGUUGGGAGGAAGGGCAGUAAGUUAAUACCUUGCUGUUUUGACGUUACCAACAGAAUAAGCACCGGCUAACUUCGUG
rnacentral:rRNA from 1 species